UACGUAGGUGGCAAGCGUUGUCCGGAAUUAUUGGGCGUAAAGCGCGCGCAGGCGGUCCUUUAAGUCUGAUGUGAAAGCCCACGGCUCAACCGUGGAGGGUCAUUGGAAACUGGGGGACUUGAGUACAGAAGAGGAAAGCGGAAUUCCACGUGUAGCGGUGAAAUGCGUAGGAGAUGGUGGAAGACACCAGUGGCGAAGGCGGCUUUCUGGUCUGUAACUGACGCUGAGGCGCGAAAGCGUGGGGAGCAAACAGG
rnacentral:rRNA from 1 species